GUGGGGAAUAUUGGGCAAUGGGCGAAAGCCUGACCCAGCAACGCCGCGUGAGGGAAGAAGGCCUUCGGGUUGUAAACCUCUGUCCUUGGUGACGAAGAAAGUGACGGUAGCCAAGGAGGAAGCCCCGGCUAACUACGUGCCAGCAGCCGCGGUAAUACGUAGGGGGCGAGCGUUGUCCGGAAUUACUGGGCGUAAAGGGUGCGUAGGUGGCCUUUUAAGUUGGAUGUGAAAUACCCGGGCUUAACUUGGGGGGUGCAUCUAAUACUGGGAGGCUAGAGUGGAGGAGAGGGAAGCGGAAUUCCUAGUGUAGCGGUGAAAUGCGUAGAUAUUAGGAGGAACACCAGUGGCGAAGGCGGCUUUCUGGACUGUAACUGACACUGAGGCACGAAAGCGUGGGGAGCAAACAGGAUUAGAUACCCUUGUAGUCC
rnacentral:rRNA from 1 species